rnacentral:rRNA from 1 species
GUAUAAUGGGUCAGCGACUUAUAUUCUGUAGCAAGGUUAACCGUAUAGGGGAGCCGCAGGGAAACCGAGUCUUAACUGGGCGUUAAGUUGCAGGGUAUAGACCCGAAACCCGGUGAUCUAGCCAUGGGCAGGUUGAAGGUUGGGUAACACUAACUGGAGGACCGAACCGACUAAUGUUGAAAAAUUAGCGGAUGACUUGUGGCUGGGGGUGAAAGGCCAAUCAAACCGGGAGAUAGCUGGUUCUCCCCGAAAGCUAUUUAGGUAGCGCCUCGUGAACUCAUCUUCGGGGGUAGAGCACUGUUUCGGCUAGGGGGUCAUCCCGACUUACCAACCCGAUGCAAACUACGAAUACCGAAGAAUGUUAUCACGGGAGACACACGGCGGGUGCUAACGUCCGUCGUGAAGAGGGAAACAACCCAGACCGCCAGCUAAGGUCCCAAAGUCACAGUUAAGUGGGAAACGAUGUGGGAAGGCACAGACAGCCAGGAUGUUGGCUUAGAAGCAGCCAUCAUUUAAAGAAAGCGUAAUAGCUCACUGGUCGAGUCGGCCUGCGCGGAAGAUGUAACGGGGCUAAACUGUGCACCGAAGCUGCGGCAGCGACACUAUGUGUUGUUGGGUAGGGGAGCGUUCUGUAAGCCUGCGAAGGUGGCCUGUGAGGGUUGCUGGAGGUAUCAGAAGUGCGAAUGCUGACAUAAGUAACGAUAAUGCGGGUGAAAAGCCCGCACGCCGGAAGACCAAGGGUUCCUGUCCAACGUUAAUCGGGGCAGGGUGAGUCGACCCCUAAGGCGAGGCCGAAAGGCGUAGUCGAUGGGAAACAGGUUAAUAUUCCUGUACUUGGUGUUACUGCGAAGGGGGGACGGAGAAGGCUAUGUUAGCCGGGCGACGGUUGUCCCGGUUUAAGCAUGUAGGCGGAGGUUCCAGGUAAAUCCGGUACCUUUUAACGCUGAGGUGUGAUGACGAGGCACUACGGUGCUGAAGUAACAAAUGCCCUGCUUCCAGGAAAAGCCUCUAAGCAUCAGGUAACAUUGAAUCGUACCCCAAACCGACACAGGUGGUCAGGUAGAGAAUACCAAGGCGCUUGAGAGAACUCGGGUGAAGGAACUAGGCAAAAUGGUGCCGUAACUUCGGGAGAAGGCACGCUGAUAUGUAGGUGAAGCCCCUGCGGGUGGAGCUGAAAUCAGUCGAAGAUACCAGCUGGCUGCAACUGUUUAUUAAAAACACAGCACUGUGCAAACACGAAAGUGGACGUAUACGGUGUGACGCCUGCCCGGUGCCGGAAGGUUAAUUGAUGGGGUUAUCCGUAAGGAGAAGCUCUUGAUCGAAGCCCCGGUAAACGGCGGCCGUAACUAUAACGGUCCUAAGGUAGCGAAAUUCCUUGUCGGGUAAGUUCCGACCUGCACGAAUGGCGUAAUGAUGGCCAGGCUGUCUCCACCCGAGACUCAGUGAAAUUGAACUCGCUGUGAAGAUGCAGUGUACCCGCGGCAAGACGGAAAGACCCCGUGAACCUUUACUAUAGCUUGACACUGAACAUUGAGCCUUGAUGUGUAGGAUAGGUGGGAGGCUUUGAAGCGUGGACGCCAGUCUGCGUGGAGCCAACCUUGAAAUACCACCCUUUAAUGUUUGAUGUUCUAACGUUGGCCCCUAAUCGGGGUUGCGGACAGUGUCUGGUGGGUAGUUUGACUGGGGCGGUCUCCUCCCAAAGAGUAACGGAGGAGCACGAAGGUUAGCUAAUCCUGGUCGGACAUCAGGAGGUUAGUGCAAUGGCAUAAGCUAGCUUGACUGCGAGCGUGACGGCGCGAGCAGGUGCGAAAGCAGGUCAUAGUGAUCCGGUGGUUCUGAAUGGAAGGGCCAUCGCUCAACGGAUAAAAGGUACUCCGGGGAUAACAGGCUGAUACCGCCCAAGAGUUCAUAUCGACGGCGGUGUUUGGCACCUCGAUGUCGGCUCAUCACAUCCUGGGGCUGAAGUAGGUCCCAAGGGUAUGGCUGUUCGCCAUUUAAAGUGGUACGCGAGCUGGGUUUAGAACGUCGUGAGACAGUUCGGUCCCUAUCUGCCGUGGGCGCUGGAGAAUUGAGGGGGGCUGCUCCUAGUACGAGAGGACCGGAGUGGACGCAUCACUGGUGUUCGGGUUGUCAUGCCAAUGGCAUUGCCCGGUAGCUAAAUGCGGAAGAGAUAAGUGCUGAAAGCAUCUAAGCACGAAACUUGCCCCGAGAUGAGUUCUCCCUGAGACUUUAAGUCUCCUGAAGGAACGUUAAAGACGAUGACGUUGAUAGGUCGGGUGUGUAAGCGUAGCGAUACGUUGAGCUAACCGAUACUAAUGAACCGUGAGG